rnacentral:rRNA from 1 species
UGAGGAAUAUUGCACAAUGGGCGCAAGCCUGAUGCAGCAACGCCGCGUGGAGGAUGAAGGUCCUUGGAUUGUAAACUCCUUUUCUGUGGGACGAGAGAGGACGGUACCACAGGAAUAAGUCACGGCUAACUACGUGCCAGCAGCCGCGGUAAUACGUAGGUGGCGAGCGUUAUCCGGAAUUACUGGGCGUAAAGCGUACGCAGGCGGCUUGUCAAGUCUGACGUGAAAUCUCCCGGCUUAACUGGGAGGGGUCGUUGGAAACUGACAAGCUUGAGGCAAUGAGAGGGGCAUGGAAUUCCCGGUGUAGUGGUGGAAUGCGUAGAUAUCGGGAGGAACACCAGAGGCGAAAGCGGUGCCCUGGCAUUGGCCUGACGCUCAUGUACGAAAGCGUGGGGAGCGAACGGG